GAGGAAGAGCAAGAAGUGGUGGCGGAGGCUGCGCUCUUUCUUCAGAGCUGCCAAAAAACAGCCUCCAGCUCACAGCUCAGGUCAGGGAGAGCAGCAGCAGCAAGAUGAGGGAGAGAAGAGGAAGGUGGCAUGGGCAGGAAGAAGUAGUGAUGGUACACGGCACAACCAUGAGAAUGUGUUUUGCUUUAAACAGCUCUACUUUGAUCAUAGAAAAACAGAUAUAGAAAUGUACAUCGGCACACAUUACACCAAAUCCUAUUGAGUUAUUCUGUUAUUCUGUUUUUAACAGACUACAUCUUCAGCCGCUACGCCAUUGGUGAUCAGCUGGGGAAAGGCGGUUUUGGCGUGGUGUAUGAAGGGAGACGUUUGGAUGACGAUCUUAAAGUGGCUGUGAAAUAUGUCACAAAGACUCAGCACACGGAGUGUAUUAUCAUCCCCGAUCAUCCAAACCCUCUUCCGAAAGAGAUCGCCCUCACCAUCCUGGCCAAUAAAGGACACAGAGUGCCGGAGAUAAUCAGGCUGCUGGACUGGACGGACCACCCUGACCACUUCGUCCUGGUCCUGGAAUGUCCCUCUCCCUGCGAGAACCUGGUAGAGUUCAUGAGGCGUCAUGGUGGAAGAAUCGAUGAAGAAAUGACGCGCCAGAUCAUGUGGCAGGCGACUUACGCUGCACACAAGUGCUGCCUCCGCAGAGUCUUCCACCGUGACGUCAAACUGGAGAACCUACUGAUCAACAUCGAGACAUCCGAAGUCAAGCUGAUUGACUUCGGAUGCGGGGACAUUCUGGGGACUUCAUCUUACAAGUCCUACCACGGUAUGUUUCAGAUGAUUCCCUUCUUCUGAUAGAUAAAGAACAAUCAUGCUGCGCUAAAGCAAACUUAAACUCCACUCUGGUCCAGGCACAGCAAAGUACUCCCCUC